AGAAAAGCCAAUAAAAGAUGGCUUCUUGCUAUGUUGCUCAGGCUCUUCUCAAACUCCUGGGCUCAAGCAAUCCUCCCACCUCAGCCUCCCGAGUGGCUGGUACUACAGAUUGGUGUGGAGCUGUCCUGGAGAUGGAGAUGUCAACGGAGGAUGAUUCUGAGACAACUGGCCCCUUGCAGUGCAGAUAAACUCCAUUAGGGGGUCUUCUAGU